UAAAAUUACUCAACCUAAACAUAAUGUAUAUAUAAUGUAUUUUUGUAUUUUAACUGCUUUUUAUUGGUUGAUAUAAUGUUCGUAAUAAAGUGGUUCUCAAACCUGUCCUGGGGGGUGUUCCAUAAAAGCCGCUUAGAAAAGCGGGGAUUAAAGUCCAAAACCUGACUUGAAUGAGCCGAACUAAACAUCCGCGCUUAAAUUGGUUCCAUAACAGUAAGUUGAGGAUCAUGUGAUCUUACUAAUUUGAGUCAGGUUUAAAUAGUCUAGAUAAUUGCGCGUGCACGCCAUUGUUUAAAAGUCCUGAAAAGUCGAGCAUGGGUCAAUCGAUUUACUAUGGGCUACCAUGGCAACAAAAGGAAAAGAUAGAGCAGCGAUGUUCACGGCAACGGAACAGCGUUUGCUAUUGGAAACGUAUGAAGAAUUUAAAGAUGUCAUCACCAAAAAAGGCAAUACAGCGGCAAUAAAUAAAGCAAGAGAGAAAGGUUGGCAGGAAAUUGCUGAUCGUCUCAAUGCCAGCAACUUAAGUGAAGGAAAAAGAACCUGGCAGCAGGUGAAAAUAAAAUAUAAAAAUAUAGUUCAGAAUGCGACCAAAAAGAAGACUGAGGUUGCUGGCACUGGGGGAGGGCCACCACCAGCCAGCUUCACUCCUGCAGAGGAGCUGGCUUUGGAAAUUAAUAAAGGGAGGCCCGUCCUUGAGGGAAUAGAGGGGGGGACAUCAUCUAAAAUGAUAUCACGUAGUAUAAGGAGUGAGUAUAUAAAAGAUUCUGUAUGCUUUAUGGAUCCACCAGACAUCAUGUUGCCUGGAGAAGGCCCAUCAGUUGAGGAGGAUGAGGAGACUGUGUCUGUAUGUUCAAGGAGGCCUGAGGAUACUGACACUGUUCUAGAGCCCUCUCAGUCUGGGACCACAUGUGACAAAAACCCAGAAAACAUAAAAGGAGUGUAUAAACGCUACCUCCUUAAACAAAUGGAAGCGAUUGAUAUCGACAUCCAGUAUAAAAAACUGAAGAUGAGGAAGUUGGAGCUGGAAAUUCAACAGCUACAGAAAAAUGCAAGUAGAACUACCAUUUUUANNNNNNNNNNNNNNNNNNNNNNNNNNNNNNNNNNNNGCUGGGGGUACUUCAUGGAGAGGUUUGAGAACCACUGUUGUAAUAAAUAAUAAUAAUAAUAAUAAUAAUAAUAAUAAUAAUAAUAAUAAUAAUAAUAAUAAUGGAAAAUGCAGC
ensembl:lncRNA